rnacentral:rRNA from 1 species
CCCUCGUGAUGCCUAGUACGGCGAGUGAGCGGCAACAGCUCAAAUUUGAAAGCUGGCUCCGGCCCGCAUUGUAAUUUGCAGAGGAUGCUUCUGGCGAGGUGCCUUCCGAGUUCCCUGGAACGGGACGCCAUAGAGGGUGAGAGCCCCGUAUGGAUGGACACCAAGCCUGUGUGAAGCUCCUUCAACGAGUCGAGUAGUUUGGGAAUGCUGCUCAAAAUGGGAGGUAAAUCUCUUCUAAAGCUAAAUACCGGCCAGAGACCGAUAGCGCACAAGUAGAGUGAUCGAAAGAUGAAAAGCACCUUGAAAAGGGGGUUAAACAGUACGUGAAAUUGUUGAAAGGGAAGCGCUUGUGACCAGACUUGCGCCGGGCGGCUCAUCAGGGGUUCUCCCCUGUGCACUCCGCCCGGCUCAGGCCAGCAUCGGUUCUCGUGGGAGGAUAAGAACGGUGGGAACGUGGCCCCCCUCCGGGGGGGUGUUAUAGCCCACCGUACGAUACUCUCGUGGGGACCGAGGUUCGCGCUCCGCAAGGAUGCUGGCGUAAUGGUCAUCAGCGACCCGUCUUGAAACACGGACCCAA